rnacentral:rRNA from 1 species
GACGUAGGGUGCAAACGUUGCUCGGAAUCAUUGGGCGUAAAGCGCACGUAGGCGGCUCGUUAAGUCGGAUGUGAAAGCCCUGGGCUCAACCCAGGAAGUGCAUUCGAAACUGGCGAGCUUGAAUAUGGAAGAGGGUCGCGGAAUUCCCGGUGUAGAGGUGAAAUUCGUAGAUAUCGGGAGGAACACCGGUGGCGAAGGCGGCCAUCUGGACGGAUACUGACGCUGAGACGCGAAAAGCGUGGGUAGCAAACAGG